CCUACGGGUGGCAGCAGUGAGGAAUAUUGGUCAAUGGACGAGAGUCUGAACCAGCCAAGUAGCGUGAAGGAUGACUGCCCUAUGGGUUGUAAACUUCUUUUAUAUGGGAAUAAAAUGUUACACGUGUGGGAUUUUGUAUGUACCAUAUGAAUAAGGAUCGGCUAACUCCGUGCCAGCAGCCGCGGUAAUACGGAGGAUCCGAGCGUUAUCCGGAUUUAUUGGGUUUAAAGGGAGCGUAGGUGGAUUGUUAAGUCAGUUGUGAAAGUUUGCGGCUCAACGGUAAAAUUGCAGUUGAAACUGGCAGUCUUGAGUACAGUAGAGGUGGGCGGAAUUCGUGGUGUAGCGGUGAAAUGCUUAGAUAGCACGAAGAACUCCGAUUGCGAAGGCAGUUCACUGGACUGCAACUGACACUGAGGCUCGAAAGUGUGGGUAUCAAACAGGAUUAGAUACCCUGGUAGUC
rnacentral:rRNA from 1 species